rnacentral:rRNA from 1 species
CACGCCCUAAACGAUGAAUACUCGAUGUUGGCGAUAUACGGUCAGCGUCUAAGCGAAAGCGUUAAGUAUUCCACCUGGGGAGUACNUGAUACGCGAGGAACCUUACCCGGGCUUGAAAGUUAGUGAAUGUGACAGAGACGUCACAGUCCUUCGGGACACGAAACUAGGUGC